CUCACGCUGACCCCCCUAAGACAAAUUUAGGACCCAGGGGAUCUGGAAACAACUACUGAUUUUGGAUCAAUUAACAAUUUCUAUGCAAAGAGGGGGAAGGGCAAGAGCGCUCCUCAAGAUGUCGACACUAUUAAAAGGCAUUUAUUAAUUAGAUGCAUGUUUCUUCAUUAGGAUAAUAGGAUUAGCAUUCCUUGUCUAUGGAUAUGUUUUACAUUUCCCGGGUCUGUGGGGAAAUAGUUCUGUACUGAUAAUUUAAUAGCCUCUUUUAACUAGUUUCUCCAUUUGAGCUGCUGCAUGUAGCAGUCGUGUUCCUAUUACCUCUCACCAUGGCUUCCGUCGUAAAUUGGAAAAGAGAAUUUGCCAUUUAAGAAACUAUUGAAGGCAAGGAUGCCCAGAGGAUUAUGACUCCCCUUUGUGCCGCGCCGAGCCCCCCUGUCCGAUCCUGACCAUCUGGUUCCAGGGGCAAGAGAAGAUCUGAGGAAGAGAACACAAAGGACACUCCAGUUCUGUCCACCUGUGUUUAAUGAUUUCCAAAACACUCUGAGAUCGAGUACAAUGAGGCCCCAUUGACUAUUGUUGUCACAUGGCAAUAAAGCCUAAGACAACAACUGCCUAUGGCAAUAAAGCCUUAUUUUUGUUUCCUGUCCAGCUACCUGUGCCUCUGUUUCUCUGUCCACCUCUACAGGUGGCUCAGAGUCCUUUGUCAUGUGCAAUACACAUUAAAAUGAAUAAUUAAUACAAAUCCAUA